rnacentral:lncRNA from 1 species
UAGCUCUUGAAUAUUUUAUUUGAAUUAGCCUUCAAAAUAAGCAGUAAAUGCUGUUUUCAGGUGGAGAUUUAAAAAGUGACAUCAGGGCACAGAAAAAUAAUAUAGCUUUGGGGAAAGAUUUUCAAGUUUUGUUGGACAGUUAAGUGGUCCUAUCUUGAUAUUUUUCUGGUAUCAGCCACAGCAUUUGUGGCUAGAAUAAUAAGCAAGAAAACCUAAUUCUGAGUAAGGACCAGAAGACUACUGGAGACUCACAGAAGGGUGUCAAUAGAAGAAUCAGUAUGUAAUAGCAAGAGGAAGAGAGAACUUUAAAUUUGGAAAAAAAUAUAAAUAAAACAAGCAAAAGUAUAAAAAUAUAAAGAUUCCAUAGAAAUUUGGAUCCAAUUGACAUAUUGUGACAAGAAAAGUGACAGACACCACAUUUUCAGAUAUGUGUCAUCAUUUUCUUUAGAAGCUGGGAAACUAGCUACAGUAACACCUUAAGGGAAGAAUUCAUAUUCAUUUUUCAGCUGAAAAAAAAACCCUUGUUGGCUUAAGGCCUUUUGUGAGGCAGGAGGUGUUAGCUCCUUGGCUGGCUGGUUGUACACAAAAUAAAUUCACGUGGAUUUGCAGUUGUUUCCAACAACUCUCUGGUCCUUCCAUAGGACUGUUUUCUUCUCCUGAUGUAUGCUGAGAGCUUCUCGUAUCUCCUGAACUUGAAUUUGCCUCUAAUUGCACAGAACAGCCAUUUUACAGAAAAGAAGAGAAGGGAGAAGAGAUGAGAAAGAGAAAGGAGAAGGCAAGAGAAGAAAGAAGAAGAAGAAAGAAAAGAGAUGCAAGUUUCUUACCUUCCAUUUUCAAAUUGCUCUGCAUAUAUGAGGAGAGGAGUACUGUUGGUGACCAGUAACCAGCCAGAUGUGACCCCAUUCACCACAACCAUGAAGCCCUUUUCUUCAGCCAGUUCUUCACCUAGUGCAUUGUGAACUGGCUCAUCCCAUGUUUGGGUAACUUGUCCAAAAGGAUGAUGUGAGGGACAGUAUCAAAAGCCUUACUAAAAUCCAGAAAAACUGUAUUCACUGUCUUCCCUUCAACCACUGGAUUUGUGACUGUAUCAUACCAAUCUUGUUAAACAGGACUGUCCCUUGUGAAUCCAUGUGCUCACACUAGAGGUAAUUUAUCAGUCCUCAGAUUGUGUGGGAAAAUGCCACCUAAACCCUCAAUACUAGAAUUGGCAGACAAUUUAUUUCUUUGCUUUUCAGGUCUAGAAUCUAAAAAUUGCACUUAUAACCCCCCUCAAACCUAGAACCAGUAGAAGAAUGGCACUAUGGGUUUUUUUCCCACUAUUCUGACUGGCAGAGCAGCAAUGCCUAAAACUGCUGCAUCGGGAGCAACGUUAAUCUGUGAAAGGCUUAUUUACAAUGUUGCUGGCCCUGUGGGAGAGCACUUGCUUUGAACACCUCAGGUAGUUGUGGCAGAGCAGUUGAAUCACAGGCUGGAGGAAGGGAAUCCACAGUGCUUUAGGCAAACUCUCUCUAAUUGCAAAAACUCAAUCAUAUUAAUCCAGUGCAGGAGUUCGGAUGCUCAAAAUGAUCUAGUGAACAAGUUCUCUUCUGGCUGCCCAAAAUUAUGUAUAUUUGCUGAGUCUAUCCCCCAGCUGGUGAAAAUGUUCUUCCUCACCACUUUCUGCCAUACUGGGGCAAUCCAGUAAGGAGUCAAGAGAGAAGACCUCUGGCUUGUGCAGAAUCC